CGAGACAUGACUGAUCAUGAAGAGGCAACUGUGGACACAAUGGGAGAAGAAAUUCAGACUGAAGCAGGAGAUGCAAAAAGUCCUCGAGAGAAGUAAAAACUUUUCCUUGAUUAAAACAAGAUAAAGGAAACAUGGUCAUCAAGCCAGCUGUAUAGAAAAUACUGGUGGGAACACUUUGGACUGAAGAGAAGGACAAACACAUCCAUGAUGCUCUGGCAGAAAGAAGGAAAAAAUGAUGCUAAGACACUUGUCAAGCAAAGAAAGUCUAAGAAAUAACCAAACGCUGUGAAAUAAACACAAAUGGCCUGGAAUCAGUUCAUUCAUUUCAACUGUAAUUCAGAAUAUAGUAAUUAUCUUAGUGGCUCAAAAGAUACAGACGUGGAUUGGACUGGAAUACAGAAUUCUUCUUUUCUGUUGUCGUUGCCUCCAAGAAACAGAUACCACCAUCAAAAAUAGCAUAAUUGUGGCGCUCUGAAUGAGAAUGGCCCCCGUAAGCUCAUGUUGGAAUACUUUGGUUCUCAGUUGAUGGAACUGUUCUGGAAGGAUUGGGAGGUGUGGCCUUGUCGGAUGAAGUGUGUCACUGGGUGUAGACUCUGAGAUUUCAAAACACUGGGAGAGUCCCAGUGCUCUCGUGUGUCAUGGUUGUGAUCUCAGCAAUUUCUGCACUCUGCUAUCACAGACACUAGCCCUCUGUUUCUUUUAUAAGGUAUAGUGUCACAGUCAGAGGGAUGUAACUAAAAGAUAAUGACCACACGAUUUCUUUCCUCAUGUCUAUGUGUUGUAUCACAUAUUUUAAAAGUAUGUAUGUUGUAUAAUUACUGCACUUCUGGAAUUAAACAUCUUGGGCAUAGUAUAUGAUUAUCUCAAUAUGUUUUUAAAUAUAGUUUUUAAGAAUUUCAAAA